rnacentral:rRNA from 1 species
UACAGAGGGGGCAAGCGUGGUUCGGAAUUACUGGGCGUAAAGGGCGCGUAGGCGGCGUGCUAAGUCGAACGUGAAAUCCCCGGGCUCAACCCGGGAACUGCGUCCGAGACUGGCAUGCUUGAAUCCGGGAGAGGGAUGUGGAAUUCCAGGUGUAGAGGUGAAAUUCGUAGAUAUCGAGAGGAACACCGGUGGCGAAGGCGGCCUUCUGGACAGUGACUGACGCUGAGACGCGAAAGCGUGGGGAGCAAACAGG